rnacentral:rRNA from 1 species
AUGGAGAAGCUUGGCCUUGCAGAGAACGAUCUGGAAGAUGUAGUCUUCAAGGAACAAGAACCCCCCCCCCCACCAGAGUCGGUCCGUUGGAUGGCAUUGGCUAGGGUUCAUACUGAAAAAUCCUACAGCCAAUACUGGUUCUUCAAGACAAUGAGAGCAGCAUGGGAUCUGGCACAAGAGGUAAAGUUUAGACCCCUCGAAGAUAACCUAUACACUAUGCAGUUCUCGUGCUUGGGCGAUUGGGAU